GUGAAUCAUCGAAUUUUUGAACGCAAAUUGCACUCCCUGGUAUUCCGGGGAGUAUGCCUGUUUGAGGGUCGUUAGUAGAAAAAUAGAAGCAUCGCUCUUUUUUUUGAGGGUGAUCGCGUCGGAAUUGAGUUGUCUUUUAAAUGUUAAUUCAUGUCAAAGUGGCUUAUAUCUGAUCUAUCCGGUACG
rnacentral:misc_RNA from 1 species